CACCCCAGCAAUGAUCGUAAAGAGAAACCCUAGCAUUCAAAAUCGAAGCGAAACAAAAAGUCAGAAUCUUUCAAUAUGACACAAAAGAAGAAGAAUUUAAUCCCAAUGAGGGAAAAUUAGCAAAUAGUUUUGCCCCAAAUAUACAAAUGGCGAAAGGUCAAUAGAAGAAGAAAUCUAUUGCAAAUGCAAUGAAGGAUAAUCUUUCCGAUCAAAUUAUUAGCAAAAGACAAAAGUUAAUGAGAAAUCAGUGCUUCCCCAUCCAAUUUGCAAAGGGAAGAGCGUGUUGGAUAAUAAUACAGGGCAGAAGGAUGUUGAUCAGGCCCUGGAAAUUCACUUUGAAGAGGAAAUUUUUAUGAACAUUUUCAGCAGGUUACCCGUGCAGUCUCUUGUUCAAUUAAAAUGUGUUUCAAAAUUUUGGAAGGCAUUAAUAUCCGAUCCUUACUUUAAGAUGAAGCAUCUCAGUCAUGCCAAGAAUAACCCAAAUUUCCGAAAAACUUCUUCUUAGCCAAAAUUUGCCUAAUAUAUGUGAUAUGUAUACCUUAUGUUGUUUUUUAUCGUCGGCUCAACUGGUUGAGAAUGAACAAAUACUUGAUUGCCCUUUAAACUUCAAACCAUUGGGUUGCAGAAUGUAUUGUUGUUGCGA